GACGAACGCUGGCGGCGUGCUUAACACAUGCAAGUCACGGGGGCCCGCAAGGGCAACCGGCGAACGGGUGCGUAACACGUGAGCAAGCUUCCGAUUAGUGGGGGAUAGCCGGCCCAACGGCCGGGUAAUACCGCAUACGUUCACUGGACGGCAUCGUCUGGUGAGGAAACCUCCGGGGCUAAUCGAGGCGCUCGCGGCCUAUCAGCCAGUUGGCGGGGUAACGGCCCACCAAGGCGACGACGGGUAGCUGGUCUGAGAGGAUGGCCAGCCACAUUGGGACUGCGACACGGCCCAGACUCCUACGGGAGGCAGCAGUGGGGAAUAUUGCGCAAUGGACGAAAGUCUGACGCAGCGACGCCGCGUGUGGGAUGAAGCUCUUCGGGGUGUAAACCACUGUUGCCCGGGACGAAACUCCUCUUUCGAGAGGACUGACGGUACCGGGUGAGGAAGCACCGGCUAACUCUGUGCCAGCCGCCGCUGUAA
rnacentral:rRNA from 1 species